UAUAAAGCUUAGUUGGGCUGGAUAUGAAAUUCUGUUGGAAAUUCUUUUCUUUAAGAAUGUUCAAUAUUGGCCAUCAUUGCUUCUGGCUUGUAGGGUUUCCUCUGAGAGGUCCACUCUUAGUCUAAUGGGCUUCCCUGUGGAGGUGACCUGGCCUUUCUCUCUGGCUGCCCUUAAUGUUUUUUCUUUCAUUUAAAACCUGGAGAAUCUGAUGACUAUAUGUCUUGGGAAUGAUCUUCUCAUGUCGUAACUUGCCAGGGUCCUCUGCAUUUCUGAAUUUGAAUGUUAGCCUGUCUAGCUAGGUUGCGGAAGUUCUCAUGAAUGAUGUCCUGAAAUGUUUUCCAGAUUGGUUCCACUCUCCCCAUCUCUUUCAGGUACGCCAAUUAUUCAUAGAUUCAGUUUAUUUACAUAAUCCCAUGUUUCUGGGAGGUUUUGCUGAUUCCUUUUCAUUCUUUUUUCUCUAUUCUUGUCUUCCUGUUUUAUUUCAGAAAGCCAGUCUUCAAUCACUGAGAUUCUUUUCUCCACUUCCUCUAUUCUGCUACUAAUACUGCUAUGGAAGGAACAUGAGGUUCUGCUGCUCUGCUGGCCUACACUGCGGGGAGCAAUACUGUUUUAGGGAGGACUUCCGAACAGGAUGUUGUCCAUUCAUCUUGCAAAUGUUGUACACGAACAAACCAGCUCUUUAUGGGUCAGAAGAUUGAUACUGCAGUUCAGAUCCCAGGGCAGAAUUCCAUCUUGCUUGGGAAAGGCAAAAAGAAAAUGAUACCAACUGCAAAUAUGUAAUGAAGAGCAGCAGAAAUGGUCUUUUACAGAUUGGAAUCCUAAUCAUUCAGAGAUGACCAAUAUUGUGCUACCUACUGUAUUAAUAAACAAAAGGGAACCUGGUCUCUAUGAGAAUCUCUAUCUGGUGCCUUCAGACAAAACUUCACCAGGUUUCAAGAGAAAACCCCUGUCUCUACACCUCCACUCCCAGGGCGAGCUCACUCUCUGGCAUCAAGUUCCCUGUGGUGAAUUUCCUUGUACAAGAGUCCAAGGGGAGAGGUCUUUCUUCCUGGAUACUCAUGACGCAUCCCCAGUUCUCACUCCCAUUGGGUGACGGGUUUCUAGCUAAGCCAAUCAGCGUCGCCGAGGUCCCGGUUCUGAAGCUCCCAGACACCUACCUGGACUCAAGAUUCUCCCCAGACGCCGAGGAUGGGGUCAUGGCGCCCCGAAUCCUCCUUCUGCUGCUCUCGGGGGCCCUUGUCCUGACUAAGACCUGGGCGGGCUCCCACUCCAUGAGGUAUUUCUGCACUGCCGUGUCCCGGCCCGGCCGCGGGGAGCCCCGCUUCAUCUCUGCGGGCUACGUGGACGACACGCAGUUCGUGCGGUUCGACAGCGACGCUGCGAGUGGGAGAGAGGAGCCGCGGGCGCCGUGGAUGGAGCAGGAAGGGCCGGAGUAUUGGGACCGUGAGACACUGACCCUCAGGGCCAGCGCGCAGACUCACCGGGGGAACCUGCGGACCCUGCGUGGCUACUACAACCAGAGCGAGGCCGGGUCUCACACCCUCCAGACGACCUAUGGCUGCGACCUGGGGCCUGAUGGGCGCCUCUUCCGCGGGUAUUACCAACAUGCCUAUGACGACAAGGAUUACAUCGCCCUGAACGAGGACCUGCGCUCUUGGACAGCGGCUGACACGGCUGCUCAGAUUACCCAGCGCAAGUUGUAGGCCGUCCAUGAGGCAAAGGGGCUCAGGGCCUACCUGGAGGGCACAUGCCUGAAGUGGCUCCGCAGAUACCUGGCCAAGGGGAAGGAGACUGCAGCAUACGGACCCCCCAAAGACGCAUGUGACCCACCACCCUGUCUCUGAUCAUGAGGCCACCCUGAGGUGCUGGGCCCUAGGCUUCUACCCUGUGGAGAUCACACUGACCUGGCAGAAGGAUGGGGAGGACCAAACUCAGGACGCCGAGCUUGUGGAGACCAGGCCAGCAGGGGAUGGAACCUUCCAGAAGUGGACAGCUGUGGUGGUGCCUUCUGGAGAAGAGCAGGGAUACAUGUGCCAUGUGCAGCACAAGGGGCUGCCCAAACCCCUCACCCUGAGAUGGGAGCCGUCUUCCCAGCUCACCAUCCCCAUCGUGGGCAUCGUUGCUGACUUGGUUUUCUUUGGAGCUGUGGUCAUCGGAGCUGUGGUGACUGCUAUGAUGUGGAGGAGGAAGAGCUCAGGACAUUUUCUUCCCACAGCUGGAAAAAGAGGGAGCUACUCUCAGGCUGCGUGUCCUAGGCAGCGACAGUGCCCAGGACUCUGAUGUGUCUCUCACGGCUUGUAAAGCCUGAGACGGCUGCCUUGUGUGGGACUGAGAUGCGGGAUUUCUUCACGCCUCCCCUUUGUGACUUCAAGAGCCUCUGGCGUCUCUUUCUACUAAGGCAUCUGAAUGUGUCUGUGUCCCUGUUAGCAUAAUGUGAGGAGGUGGAGAGACAGCCCAUCCCAUGUCCACCGUGACCCCUGUCCCCAUGCUGACCUGUGUUCCCUCCCCAGUCAUCUUUCCUGUUCCAGAGAGGUGGGGCUGAGCAUCUCCAUCUGUGUCUCAGCUUCAUGGUGCACUGAGCUGCAACCUCUUACUUCCCUACUGAAAACAGAAUCUGAAUAUAAAUGUGUUUCCUCAAAUAUUUGCCACGAGAGGUUGAUGAGUUAAUUAAAUAAGUCAAUUCCUAAAAUUCGAGAGAGAAAAUAAAGACCUGAGAACCUUCCAGAA